UACGGGGGGGGCAAGCGUUGUUCGGAAUUACUGGGCGUAAAGGGCUCGUAGGCGGCCAACUAAGUCGGACGUGAAAUCCCCAGGCUCAACCUGGGAACUGCGUCCGAUACUGGAUGGCUUGAGAUUGGGAGAGGGAUGCGGAAUUCCAGGUGUAGCGGUGAAAUGCGUAGAUAUCUGGAGGAACACCGGUGGCGAAGGCGGCAUCCUGGACCAACACUGACGCUGAGGAGCGAAAGCCAGGGGAGCAAACGGG
rnacentral:rRNA from 1 species